ACGAUGAUGAUGAUGAUGAAU
rnacentral:miRNA from 1 species